rnacentral:rRNA from 1 species
UCCGUAGGUGAACCUGCGGAAGGAUCAUUCCUUAGAGUUGUAGGCUUUGCAUGGUAUGUCUUACCCAUGUCUUUUGAGUACCUUCGUUUCCUCGGCGGGUCCGCCCGCGGCUUGGACAAUUUAAACCAUUAGCAGUUGCAAUCAGCGUUUGAAAAAAUUUAAUAGUUACAAAUUUCAACAACGGAUCUCAGGUUAUGGCAUCGAUGAAGAACGCAGCGAAAUGCGAUAAGUAGUGUGAAUUGCAAAUUCAGUGAAUCAUCAAGUCUUUGAACGCACAUUGCGCCCCCUGGUAUUCCGGGGGGCAUGCCUGUCCGAGCGUCAUUGCUGCCCUCAAGCCCGGCUUGUGUGUUGGGUCUCGUCCUCCGAUUCUGGAGGACGGGCCCGAAAGGCAGCGGCGGCACCGCGUCCGGUCCUCGAGCGUAUGGGGCUUUGUCACCCGCUCUGUAGGCCCGGCCGGCGCUUGCCGAUCAACCCAAAUUUUUAUCCAGGUUGACCUCGGAUCAGGUAGGGAUACCCGCUGAACUUAAGCAUAUCAAUAAGCGGAGGA